GACGAACGCUGGCGGCGUGCUUAACACAUGCAAGUCGAGCGGUAAGGCCCUUUCGGGGGUACACGAGCGGCGAACGGGUGAGUAACACGUGGGUGACCUGCCCUCAGCUCUGGGAUAAGCCUGGGAAACCGGGUCUAAUACCGGAUAUGACUCCAUGACGCAUGUUGUGGGGUGGAAAGCCUUGUGCGGCUGAGGAUGGGCCCGCGGCCUAUCAGCUUGUUGGUGGGGUGAUGGCCUACCAAGGCGACGACGGGUAGCCGGCCUGAGAGGGCGACCGGCCACACUGGGACUGAGACACGGCCCAGACUCCUACGGGAGGCAGCGGUGGGGAAUCUUGCGCAAUGGGCGAAAGCCUGACGCAGCGACGCCGCGUGAGGGAUGACGGCCUCGG
rnacentral:rRNA from 1 species